AUCCUGGCGGCGAGAAUGCAAUAGCACCACCUGACCCCAUGCCGAACUCAGAAGUGAAAUGUUGUAAUGCCGAUGGUAGUGUGGGGAUUCCCCAUGUGAGAGUAGGUCACUGCCAGGU
rnacentral:rRNA from 1 species